CAGAGAAUUUGAUUCCAGAAGCCGAACUGCCUCCUGCCGAAUUCUUCAAGCUUCUAGCCCCCUCUAGACUCUGUAGAUUCUUCCCAUAGAAGAAAAGAGAGAGAAAACAGUGCAUAUUUAUUCAAUGGAUGCCGCUAAGAUAGCAGACCUUAAGCAAUUUGUUGAUCACUGCAAGUCUAACCCUUCUAUACUCCACGACCCAUCUCUUACUUUCUUCAGAACCUAUCUUCACAGCCUGGGUGCUCGAAUUCCACCUCAAACUAAAUCGGAGAAAGGUGAUAUUGACAUGUCCAACUCUAAUGAAGACUUUAAUGACCAGAGAUCAAGUGAAGAGGGUGAUAACAUAAUAGAGUCUGACAUUGAAUUAGAUGAUAGUGACAUUGUGGAACCUGACAAUGAUCCUCCGCAAAAGAUGGGAAACCCUGCAAUUGAAGUUACAGAAGAAAAGCAGGAUGCUGCACAAACAGAAAAAGUAAAAGCCAUGGAAGCAAUCUCUGAAGGCAAGCUUGGUGAUGCCAUAGUUCACCUAACAGAGGCUAUAACAUUGAAUCCCACUUCAGCAAUAUUAUAUGCAACUAGAGCUAGUGUUUUUGUUAAACUGAAGAAACCAAAUGCUGCAAUACGUGAUGCUAAUGCUGCUCUAGAGAUCAACCCCGGACUCUGCUAAAGGAUAUAAAGUACAGGGAAUAGCAAGGGCCAUGCUGGGCCAAUGGGAAGAAGCAGCAAGUGACCUGCAUGUAGCAUCAAAGUUGGAUUAUGAUGAGGAGAUUGCUUUGGUUCUAAAAAAGGUUGAAACUAAUGCACGCAAAAUUCAAGAGCAUCGUCGAAAAUAUGAACGCUUGAGAAAAGAAAGGGAGCUAAAGAAAGCUGAACGGGAGAGACAACAGCGAGUUGAAGCCCAAGGACGAGAAGCUUUAUCUGCUUUAAAGGAGGGGCAAGUAAUAGGCAUCCAUUCUACCAGUGAGUUGGAAACCAAAUUGAAUGCUGCUUCAAGAACAUCUCGCCUUGCAAUCCUGUAUUUUACAGCAACAUGGUGUGGGCCUUGUCGUUACAUUUCUCCUCUUUUUACAAAUUUAGCUACAAAGUACCCUAAAACUGUAUUCUUGAAAGUUGACAUCGAUGAGGCUAGGGAUGUGGCUGCGAAAUGGAAUAUUAGCAGUGUUCCUACAUUUUUCUUCAUAAAGAAUGGCAAGGAGAUCGACAAAGUUGUGGGUGCUGAUAAAAAUGGACUUGAGAGGAAGAUUGAACAAUAUGCAUCCUAGGCCUGAGUUAAAUAUCUGUAAGAACCUCAUAACUUGUGUUUCUUCCGUCCUUUAGGCUCUGUGAGCAUCACUAGUCUUACAAAUGGGAUAAACUUGUGAGAAGAUUGUCGUGUUUCAUAAUAAAAUGACCUGCCC
rnacentral:misc_RNA from 1 species